rnacentral:rRNA from 1 species
AUUGAACGCUGGCGGCAGGCUUAACACAUGCAAGUCGAGCGAGCGGCGGGCGGGAGAGUAAUGACUGGGAAACUGACUGAUGGAGGGGGAUAACUACCGGAACCGGUAGCUAAUAACGCCUACCAGCAGCUAUGCCCAGAUGGGAUUAGCUAGGAGGUGGGGCAAUGGCUAACCAAGGCGACGAUCCCUACCUGGUCUGAGAGGAUGACCAGUCACACUGGAACUGAGACACGGUCCAGACUCCUACGGGAGGCAGCAGUGGGGAAUAUUGCACAAUGGGCGAAAGCCUGAUGCAGCCAUGCCGCGUGUGUGAAGAAGGCCUUCGGGUUGUAAAGUACUUUCAGCUGGGAGGCGUUACCAGCAGAAGAAGCACCGGCUAACUCCGUGCCAGCAGCCGCGGUAAUUC